GUGUAUGUGAGGGGUGCAUUGUGUUUGAGGGGUGCACUGUGUAGGGUGCAGUGUGUGUGUGAGUGGUGUAGUGUGUGUAAGGGGUGCAUUGUGUGUGAGGGGCGCAGUGUGUCUGUGUGAGUGGUGCAGUGUGUGUGUGAGUGUGUGUGUGUGGUGGAUUCUUCAGAAGGAGGUAACACUGCUUACAUGGGGUUCAUUCUUAAGGAAGAGGUAAGACUGCUUACAUAGGGUUUACUCUUCAGGAAGAGAUAGUACUGCUUACAUGGGGUUUACUUUUUAGGAAAAGGUAACACUGCUUACAUGGGGUUCAUUCUUCAGGAAGAGAUAGCACUGCUUACAUGACGGGGUUCAUU